GAAUAAGCACCGGCUAACUACGUGCCAGCAGCCGCGGUAAUACGUAGGGUGCAAGCGUUAUCCGGAAUUAUUGGGCGUAAAGGGCUCGUAGGCGGUUCGUCGCGUCCGGUGUGAAAGUCCAUCGCUUAACGGUGGAUCCGCGCCGGGUACGG
rnacentral:rRNA from 1 species